CAUUUUUAUUUGUGAAAGCAGUAUUUAUAAAUUGACUGUUAAAAAUCUUUAUACAGUAAACAUGAAGGAAGACUUGUCAUGGUGAUUCAUUGGUCAUAAGUUGUAGGUUAAACCAUUUUAAACAUACAUUUGAUCUAAUCAUUAUAGUUUAUUAAUUGUUUUAAAAGAAAGUUGUAAUUUUGUAAAAAAGAAAAUUAUUAUUUUUUUUUUUUCAGAUUGUGGGAAUGUGGUUGUUGAAUAUAGAGGAGAAAUGAUAUAUUUAUUUGAAGCAGAACGCAGAAGGGACAUCUAUAAAAAUACGGUCUGUCUUUACUUGGCAAAACAAGCAGUGCUGAAACUGCACCGUGAAGAAGACUGUGGCCCAGGAAAUCCUGCCUUUGGCAGCGAGGGACAUUAUUCCUGAAGAAGAAAUAACAUACGACUGCGGAGCAAGUGACCGGCUUUGGAGAAAGUUUCACCACUGAUGGGAAGAAAUGUACUGGCAGACAGGGAGUGAGCAGAAGAUCAGGACGGUGGUGCAGAGUGGUGGUCAUCAGCCCUGCAUGUCAACAGCUUCAUUCAGUCCAAAAUGAUGUUUAAAUGGAGGACUUCACAGAGAGGGUCAGUGGCCUGUUUGUCACCACCCACAUGCCAUUUGGGGUCAAUUGUUGUGAGACACUUCUUGUUGUUUUUGCUAAUUUUUAAGAUAGUUUUAAGAUAAAUCAUGUUCUUUCUUAGAACAGUGAUUCCCAAUCCAGCUCUCAAGAUGUAUGUUUGUUUCAUUUAUAUUCUUGCACACUUAAAAUGUUUUCAUGGCUGUAAUUUGUUGAUGCACUGUACUCUGGGUACUAACACAGUACUAAAAUAUUUUAAAAUGUUUUAAUAAAAAUACUUUUGUAAAUAUGUUUGGAUUGCCUUUUGAUUUGUAAUGUUAUUCUGAAGUAUAGUAGUAUCACAAUUUUACUAACUAUAUGUAUGUACUAUUCCAAACACACACACACACACACACACACACACACACACAUAUAUAUUACACAAUAUAGAGUUGAAACAAAAUUAUAGACGGUUUCAACGGCAACAACAUUAACAAACGUUACUGCGCAUGCGCGCUUUUGUGGCCCUAACUUAACUUCCGGUAGACAUCCAAAUACAAUCAGUAACAACAGCUAAGUCCCUCUAGAGUAGAUUAUGUUUUGAUAACAAGCAAAAUAUAUUUCCUGUGUAAAUCAGACAGACUGAGAUGCAGCGAUAACUACUUGGACGGACUUGCAAAUGCAA